GGAUGUGAGGGCGAUCUGGCUGCGACAUCUAUCACUCCAUUGAUCGCCAGGGUUGAUUAGGCUGAUCUGGCUGGCUAGGCAGGUGUCCCCUUCCUCUCACCACUCCAUGUGCGUCCCUCCCAAAGAUCAUCCCCAUAAAGGAGGACCGUUCUUCUGUCAAGGGUAUGUGAGUAGCUGCGCUCCCCUGCUAGAACCUCCAAACAAGCUCUCAAAAAGAGUGCUGUUGUAUGCACUAAUGAAACCAACUUUGAAUAAAACCUUUAUGGAGCAGUUAACUAGCCCUAGAAA
rnacentral:snRNA from 1 species